rnacentral:rRNA from 1 species
UACGGGGGGGGCAAGCGUUGUUCGGAAUUACUGGGCGUAAAGGGCUCGUAGGCGGCCAACUAAGUCGGAUGUGAAAUCCCCAGGCUCAACCUGGGAACUGCAUCCGAUACUGGAUGGCUUGAAUUCGGGAGAGGGAUGCAGAAUUCCAGGUGUAGCGGUGAAAUGCGUAGAUAUCUGGAGGAAUACCGGUGGCGAAGACGGCAUCCUGGACCGACAUUGACGCUGAUGAGCGAAAGCCAGGGGAGCAAACGGG